CCUCCUCCCAGGACAAUCUGUUCUUGCAUUAAUGUGACCUUCCUUUCUACUUAGUGAAGCAGGAGCGGAAGAACAACAAGGAUAUUGAUGUGGGCAACCUGGGAAGAACACGUUCACUUCCAAAAACAGAAGCUAAUCAUUUAAUUUAAGGACCAGCAGCCUUUGGCAUGGAAGAACAAGAAAGCUGCAAUAGGAAGCAGCCCUCCAAGCUCAGCAGGAACUGGAAAUACCUCUAACACAAACCAUUUCUACACUACAGAAAACAUCUUGUUAUGAGUUCCAAAGGUCAUGCAGCCACAAGGGUGACCACACCUGACUUAAGGAAUAAUGCACCUAUUGUGUAAGAGCAGAAGUAAUCCUCACCCUCAGUUCUGUCUCGUUCUGUGCAUGACUUGGACUGACAAAUCUGAGAUACCAACUCAUUUGUGUUCCUGUGAGACAGACCACUGGUUGGCCCUGAGCUCUGUCCUACACCAGUCACAAGAGUUCAGACUGCCCUGCAGGGAGCCUGGUGCAGGCAGGGGAACACAGUGGAAAGCUGCAGCUGUUUGCCUUCAGCCUGAACCACACAGCACAAAGGAGAGAAGGAACCUUAUUGUGGUGAACUGCUGACUGACAGGACUGGGAGCGAGGAUGCUCCUAGUUUGGAGAAGCUGAAGGGUUAUUUUUCAACCAGAGUGGAAUCAACGCAUCAGACGGGUGAAGCUGAACCAUGGAACAG